GAUCCGCCCACCUUGGCUUCCCAGAGUACUGGGAUUACAGGCAGGAGACACCAUGCCUGGCCUUAGAUAUGCAAACUGAAGUUUAAAAAGCUUAGUUCUCUUGCCCAAGGUCUCAUAGCUAGUAAACAUAAAAGAAAAAAAAAAAAAACCUCAGUCAGAAUGGCAGCAUGGGAAGCCCACCUAACUCUCUUCUCUGAGUCCUUUGCCUAUUAAGAAAAACUCUCACCUCCUGGUCCAGGCACGAAACAACACUGUCUAUCCGACAGAGCCUGGGCUGGGAGCAGCACAGGGUCUAGACUUGCCUCUGCGUAGACCUCAGUGUAUUCUAAGAUCCUACUUUUCUUGGCCUGUUUCUCCAUCUACAAAGUGGAAGUCAUGUUCCUUGCCCCUCCCAGCACUUAAAGCUAUUAUAGAGAGGAAUGAGUUCAAAGGUAUGAAAACAUGUAGGAAGGAAAACGUACAAACGAUCUUCUAGAGUGACUUAUAAUAAAACUCUAGGCAUAUACCUCCAUGCUUAACUCCCUUCUUAGGCAUUCUCCUUUUGACUUCUAAGCAAGCAAGAUGUUCUAUCAUAAAAAGACAAUCAGUUGCAUUCACUGAAAGUAGAAAAAUGGACUCUCACAUUGAUGAAUGAUAGCAAACGACAAAGGCCGAUAUAGACAAGGUUUCCUGGUUAACCUUCAGUUCACCAAAAAGUCCUUUGAUUACAUCUUCUCUGAGCAUCCUAGUUAAUCAAGGCUUGUCGAGCAGAUCCUCACUCUCGGCUGUAAAGGCCUCUGCUCUUCCCCAUGUCCCUCUUCUUGUGCCCCUUAUAGUCUGCCCUUUACUCACUGCCCAGAUUGGACUCCUUCUCCCAGAACAGCAGGUAAAUUCAAUUAUCUUGGGGCUGAGUACGUAAAUUUUAGGCCUAGGCAUCCCUCCUAGAGACUCCAGAGUUGUCAGUUCCUUUAAAGUCAUUAAUACACAUAUACGGGUACGGAUGUGCUUCCACUGUGAUUCCACUCUUGGUGACAGCUGGGAAAGAGGCCCCACCACCUGACCCACCCGUCACAACACCCACCAUCCCCAUCUCAGACACGGAGCUCCAGAGACUGCCACCCUCCCUUCCCCUCCCCUGGGCCCCUCAGUGGCACCUCGAUGCUGCCAGUCUCUCCAGGCCUGCUGUGGCUUUUAGAAAACAGAGCAUGUCUAUUUUUAGCCCUUCUCAGCCUAAUAAUACUCCCCAACACCCAUUCAGCUUAAUCACUUUAUUGAGGACAAGAAGCGGGCUCUCUAGCCCGGGUGCUUCUGAUGUUAGGAAGUAGUAAAAUGUUCAAACUGGUUAAAAAUGACACUCAUUGGCUUGCCUUUGGUGUUUCUGAAACCUUAAUUGUGGCUCAGGCUGUGGAUCUAAAGAGCCUUGCAGGUUUCAGAGUCUGGCUUCCUUACCCCCUGCACCAUAAUUGAGGUGUUACAUUACAACUACGGCACUGACAUUUGCAGGCUCAAAAUUCAGCAGCCUUAAGAUGCCACACUUUUCAAAACAGAAAUAUUGCCUGCCACACUUAAUGCCUAUUCUAAGUACGAACCACCUCCCUGCCGGAAAAAAACAAACCAAAACAAAACAAAACUCGUCUUUUCUGGCUCCUCCCAUGCCAGAGGUCCAGGUGGGAAACUAUUUGCCAUAUUAAGCCCAUAGCUGCUUGAAAACAGAAAGGUUUGUUUGGUGUAAUUAGAAGACCUGCGAGUUUGGUGUGUGCAGGAAAUAGACUGUUGGCAGCUCUUCCACGUGCACCUUUGAGACCGUGACUUCCAAAGCUUCAGGGUGAGCAUCUGCAAACGUGCAAUCUGUACCACGUGAGCUGUGGGCUGGGAGAAAUGGGCAGCCUGGAAAGGGGAUGGAAACAACUUUGCCGCAGAGGUUAAGACCAGGGGCUUCAGGGUCAGGCAGCCCUGGGGUCACAGCGCAGCUCUGUCUCUUACUUGCUAGGUGAUCUUGGGCAAGUAAACUCAGUCUCCUCAUCUGUAAAAUGGAUGUCCUAACAGUACCAACUUGAAAUGGGUCUUGUGAGGCUCAAAUGAGAUGACGAAGUAAAGCAAUCUGGCACAGUACCUGGCACCUGUAGGCCUCCAGGAAAUGUCAGCUGCCACUGUCAUUAUCUCUGGUUUCCUCCUUUCUACCAUGGGCUCCUUCUAAGGCAAAGUGUUCAGUUUUUGUCUCUUCUGCCUUGCCCAGGACAAAAAGGAAAUCUGGGCACUAGAAUGGCUAACCAUGGCCAGCUGUGUGCGGUCGCAGGACAUUCUUGGACAUGUAGUAGGGAACUCCUAUGGACUCGGAGUGGGUAGAUGGAGCUGGACCCACAGCAGGAGGAUUGAGGGGAUGAUUUCUCAGGUUCCAUUCAGCUAAGCGAGUGAAAGGCACGUCCAAGGCCUGGAAACUCACCUGGACCAGGCUCUUCUACACUCCUGGGCAGCUUCCCCUGCUGCUCCUGUCUCCCUUUCCUUCCUUCUCAGGCAGGGUGCUUUGAAGCACCUUCAUAAACGUCCUGCUCUUCAGCAGGCAGAGGCGGAACGCCUCAUUAACUUUCCUAGCUAAUUUUACAAUUUAACCAAACACCACAUUUCUGCUUCGAUUCAGCCAGCCUCUGACUGUGACAAACUUUUAUAAUGUUGAGAUGGAGGAAGGAAGCAGAUAGUCCGUGCCAGAGACUGAGAUAAAGUUCUGAAAACUAAAGUGGGAGACGGAGAGUAGGAAAAAAAAAUAGCUCUGUGAACUCUAUGUAUGCUCCCAAAGCAGAAUUCUAGGCUGUGCAGGGCUGAGCAGUAGGGAAGAAAGCCACGCCGGCCUUGUGGUGUCAGAAAGAUGGAGUACUCCCGUGACAAUGACUCUUCCUGUCACCUUGGGGGGCCGGGGGCUAUAUCGGGAAGCACAGUUACAUGCUGUCCUCUGAGGGGCAUGAUUCAAUGCUGAUGGGCAGCAGGCCAGAGGUGAGGCAGGCCACCCAGAGGACACGUUCAGCUUGGCAAGGCCCCAGGGCCCCGUCCAAAGGGCACUGAAAGGCCCUUCCCAGCCCACUGAGCCGGCUCCUAGCUCCUGAUAGAGAUUCUGGAUGGGGGUGGAGUUCAGUGGGAGGACUGUAUGUCUAGGAAUGUUUCCCCAUCAAGAAUCCUAUGGGCUAGAAAAGAUCCCCAGGGUUGUCAUCACAGUCCUACAUACGCUGGUCCACGCUUUGCUCGGACAGGACAGACAGGACCUCAUUAGAGACAGAGAGUAUCAUUCGGCCUCAUUAUCUAUAAUCAGACCCUGCUCUUGGUGCAUAAAUAAGUAAUGAAGACAGUGCACUGUGAUUCUCUUUGCUCCCGGGUCAGCUUCAAAGGCUGCACCUGUCCCUCUCGAGCCUAUACUCCAGAGCUUCUGACUCCAGACCCCAAAUCUCAAUUAAUGCAAAACUGGCCCCCCAGCAGUGCUCUCUCAGAUGUGCUGGAUUAUGUCCAUUAGGCCCCAAUGAAGGCACUGGGAGAUCCGGGAUAUUCAGGCAAGAUAGUAGCCUCCCAAAAUAUCUGGUCUCUGGGCCUUUAUCCCGGGCUCAUAUUAGCAAAGGCAACUGAGGAAGGAAGACUCCAGCAAAUCCAAAGUUUCAGAGAGUUCUGUCUUUACCCGGAGUUACCUUGUUACUGAAAAUGACUGUGGUCUUUCAUAAUUACUCCAACAAAAAUGCAGCCGCCAAUGAGCUCCCUGUGCUCAAUUAGCUUAUAAUAGUCAGUAAGAGAGCUGCUGAAGUUUAAUCCAACUACCCCAGAAGACUUUUUAUCCCAACUACCUAAUGAAAACUUUAGAAUUUGCUUUUUUUUUUUUCCCCUUGUCCCAGGCAAGUGAAAGAAUUCCAAUCAAAACGGGACUGGUUUGGGGGAAGGAGGAGGGAGUGCGUUAACUACUGGGGAAAAGUCUGGAAGACAUGUCUUUGUCAGGUUGAAUCCUGGAGAGAGCCAACAAAAGGAGCCCCUGACUACAGAGGUAUCCGCCCCUCUCUCCCACUGGCUUCCAUCUACGCGGUGAACAAGCUCAGUCUUCACUAAAGGCAUACACAGGGGCUUCACCCACGUGGUCCGAGGAGGUGGGCUGGGGCACGUCCUGAGACCGUCCUCGGAUGCUUCCUCCAUUGGCCCUCCAGGGUGGCCAACUCUGUCCUCAGCCUCACCCAGAGGCAGCCCUCUGACCUGUCUUCUCAACCUAGGCUUUGUGGGGUUCUAGGUACUCGUAACAUAUUUUUUAGUCCAUCAAAUCCUAUAUGAGAAAUUUACAAUCUUCUGGGUCCGCAUCCAAUUUUAAGCCUUGCUUUCACAUGUGUUUGUUUUAUGGAUGCCUCAACUUGGAGGGGCCCCCUGAAGUGGCAGCUUUUCAUCUUUAAUGCAGUGUUUCUCAACCUCCAGGCCAAGGAGGCCCACAGCCAUCACAGGGAUUGGAGGACUCCCAAGUGCAAGAAACUGGGCUCUAAGUCUCUGCCAGGUGGCUAUGGGCGGAGGAGGAUGAGGAGGAAAGAGAUGCCUGCCUGGAUGGUUCUAGCUCACAGAAGUUCUUGCUUCCUCUUGUCCAGAAAGCCAAACCAUGCAUCCUGAGCCCUUCACUUCUUCAACAGAUAUUUCCUGAGAGCCUGCUAUGUGUCCCGCUGUGAGGAUGCAACAGAGCACACUACUGACAAGGUCCCCGCCUUCCAUCCUUGUCUUCUCAUCCAGAUUGCUGACUCCUGGGGCUGGAGGGAAGCAGGCAGCACCUCAGGUCUGUUCCUUACCAUGUGCCCAUCCGCAUGCCUGCUCACUCACCCAUUAGGUUAUUUUUCAAAUGACUGAGUUAUAACCACCAUUCAGGUUACUAAGCGAGGUAGUAUAGGGGACACAAAUAAAUCACAUGUUCUCAAGAAGCUUACAGUCUAGUAGGCAAAAAAGGCCAAGCAAAUAAAUAGCUAUGUAACAAAGAAGGUGACAGGUGCCAUAAGAGGGGAUAGAUAAAUGGCUAAGAGCGAUCAGAUGGAGGGCGGCCUCUUGUCCUGCCCAGACAGACACAUCCUAGGGCUGAGUCGGCUGACUUUUCAAAAGAGAAGAGAAAAAGGAACGCUCGCCGGUCGGGCACCAGGCCUAGCAUGGGAAACAGGCAGGACCUAUUUAAAACAACUAGAGCCAGGUUAGAGCCUUUUCUGGCAAGUCCCAAAACUCCUGGAGCUGAUCAGAUAACCAGAUAGAACCAAUACUGUCAAAAUCCUAUGGAUUUUAAAAAAUCAUUUAGCUGUUGCCGGGAUGAUAAAAGAAUCUUGCCAUUCAAAGGGAAGGUGCAGGCUCAGAGGAAGGAGGGGUCGCUGGGAGAGCAGGAGGGGGCUGGGGAGAAAAGGGAACGCCCUACAAAUAUAGAUCAGGGUUAGGGAGAAAAACCAGACGGCCAAGGACAUUUAUGCAUUGUGGUUGCUUUACUACCUAAUUAAUUCAGUAAUUUCAAAAACAAUUUUAUUUAUGUUCCAUUUACCACAUCAAAGGUGAAAAAAAUCCUACUGAUGCUAAAAUAAUACCUCAAGGCAUCUAUUUUUAAUCAGUUAAAAAAAAAAAAAGCAAGGGGUAGAGGGAGAAUUUAAAAAAAAAAAAAAACAAAAAAACUCGCCCUGGUUUCUAUACAAUCUCUCCUGGGCAGACCACCAACCCUCAGAGAGAGAGAGAGAGAGAGAAAACACAGCCAAGCCCUCUCUGAGAGCCUUCCUGGCUGCUGAAAACCAAGCUUGUCAAAAAAAAAAAAAAAAAAAAACCAAAAAAAAAAAAAACCACAAAUCCAUAAUGGCCCGAGGCUCCUCUCCAAUCUAUUUUCUGCUCAGCUGGUUUUAAAUGAAGUUAUUAUGAGUCAUUAAAACACCCGCAAGCCAGUGGAAGUCAGCCAAUUACAAUUUUAAAUUUAGCCUGUUCUCUGCCCCAUUCUCUUGUUUUCUUCCUUUGCCCACAGAAUGCUGCUGCUGUUAUUUUUUCCCUCCCUUCCUUUACCCAAAGUGAAAGAGACAGUUAUGAAAAUGCAUAGUAUUGCACGGAGCACAGAAUCAUUCAUAUGAAACUCAAAUUAUUAGACAAAAAAAUGCAAACUUCUGCCCCCUCCAAAGUCAACCCAAGCCUUGCCUCAGCCCACUGGAUUCCUCGGAAACUCCAGUCUGAGCCCCAAAGGUCAUGGGGCUAUUUUUAAAAUGAAAAGGUUCUUCAGUGGGGUCUUGUUGAGAAAUGUUCACAUCCAUCACACAAAAUCAACAUUUUCAUGGCUGAAUCCAAAAGGUAGAAACACACCACCACCAUCUGAGAAUUAAUAACAAACAAUGAAGUUGAAAUUCAAAGGUAAAGCAGGCUUUGCAAUCAAGCAUGAAUGUCGGUAGAAGUCACUCGAUAUGAUGAGCUCAUUUAGUUUUUAAAUCUUCAAGGUAAUGGUCUGUGCGGGCCCAUUACAGCAAAGGAACAAAUUUGAGUAUUUCAUGUAAAUGCUUCUUCUCAAUCUCUUUUUGUUCCCAUGCUUGGACACACAAACACACACAUGCACACAUGGUGUUCUGAUUAGGACUGUGUCCCCGAUUUCUAGGAGACACUGCAGCUUUUCCAUACCCUCCAACAAGUGAGUCCCUCUACCCAAAGGACUGUCCAAUCCUGCAAUCUUCACCAACCUCAUUUAAUGGAUGAGUCUGCAAGCUCCACAGAACAGAUGCCCAGAUGUCUGCAAACACCUUCCAUCACCUCCAGGCCCCCUCUCCCUCAUGGUUACACACACACACACACACACACACACACACACACACACACACACACGUAGACCAGUCCUCUGCCCCACGAUACUUGCAGUUCUAUGCCCCAAGAACGCAGGAGAGCCACAGCCACAGACCUAGGCAGUUGAACACCUGGGAGAGGAGUGAAUGCCAUGCCAUUUCACUGACAGUCACCGAGGGUUAGUGUGGAGGCCAGGAUGCUACCAAGAGUGGCUGCCUACCUGGUUGCUCUGGGUGAGCUGGAACUCAGGGUCCAUCCCUACCAAGCAACCUCACUGAGAAGAGCAUGUGAAAUACCAUGAUGUUUCCAGGCCCAUUGCGACCUGCAGCCAUUUGCCAAAGGCUUGACCUCUAUGGAACAUAAACCUGAGGCCUGUGAGCACAGAUGUCCCAGGUUCUGAAGGUCCCCAGAGCUGGGCAGAUGACACCCUCCUAUCCUCAGCCCUGAGCCACCCCACUAAGUAGUUCCAAGUGAGACCCCUCAACAGCAACCUCUCAAGUGGUUCACCCAGGCCUGUUCUCCCGGAAGCCAGUAAAGCUGAAGCUUCAGGCCUCUCCCUGGCACUGACCCCUUUCCUGGGAGAGGCUCUAACACCUGGUAUUUAUAAUCCUUUUCUGAGAGACAGCACCCAAAACUGAGUACGCUUCAGGCCCCACCAAACCCAGAUCUGCCCUAGUAGUACAAACACUUUUAUAACAGGAUAUUCAUUUAUUUGACAGAUACUAUCAGUGCACAACACUCCUAUGUACCAGGCACUUUGCUAGGGCAUGAGUAUGUGAGGGCAGCUGCUGAGUCCUGCACUCAGGUGCACAGUACUGGCCCAGGAGAGCACAGUACCAGCAAAGUCCAAUAAGGGCCUUGUAAAGCCUAACCCUGCUAAACUACUUGCCCAUUCUCAACACAACUGGGAUUUGGGGGGAACAUCCAGGGACCUGGGAAAAGCAGGGGCCAAGCCAGAGAAGCCCCACUCUGGCCCCUGAGAGGCAAGGGACAAGAGCACAUGAGAUUCUAGGUGCUGGGAGCAUUCUAGGGACACUGGCUCAAGAGUCCUCCCCUCUGGGGAGACCUCUGGGCCAGAGUGACAUUUUGUUUUCCAUUCCAACCACUGCCCAGCUUCCAAGCUAAAAAAAACUUUGAGGUGGUGGGUUAGGACAGGGAGGCAGGGAGGCAGGGAGAGACAGAGACAGAGACAAAGACAGAGAAAGAGAGAGACAGAGAAAAGACCAACGAAGACAGAUGGAGACAAAGACAGAUGAAGACAUAAGAAGGAAGACAGAAAAUACACAGGAGUGUCAAGAAAAGGCCGAGGCUGACACAGACACAAAGGACAGGGACAAAGAGAUGAAGUGAGAUGAAAGCAGAUUGGGGAGAAAUAGAAGGAGAAGAGAAGAGCUGAAAAAUAAAUACCUGCCACCACAGAGACCUGGACAAGAGCACUGAAAGUAAGGGCCGCAGUAGCGUGAUGGAUGCCCAAAGCAGGGUGGGGCCCCUCAGGCACAGCCCUGGAUACAGAUACCCAGGCCCAGCCUGGUUAGAGGGCUAGGGAAUGGGGCUGAGGGCAAGAGAAAGCACGGCCAGGCCUCCUAAGAACGCUUCCGGCAGGGUGUGUGUCUGCGAAGCCAAGGGAAGACGAAAAGGCCCUGGAAAUCAGAAAUGGCAUUGCCAUUAUCAGGUUGAUCCCACGUAAAUAUCCCUCCCCAAUAACCCCAUAUCUAUUCAUCCUCAGACAAUAACAAGGACCAGCAAGGCAACCCAGAACGUAGGAAGGAUGGCAGGAGCAAAGGAGAGGAAAGGGAGACUAGGAGAAUAAAUGGCAGACAGACAGAUGUCCCAGCAUCCAUCCCUCUAGGGCACCAUUCAUUUCCUAAUAAGACCGUCAUCCUCUAGCUGUGCAAAAUCAUGUGGUGGCAUGAGACAGGGUUUGUGUGGAAGAAACCACCCUAUGCUGAGAUAGAAAAAUCAUCGAGAGAGGGAGAAGGAAGAAGGUUAUUACAUAAUUUCCACUUUCUUCCCUCCACCCUCAAAGUAAUGUUCUAUCUGACAGGCUCCUCUCUGAGGGGGGAAAAAUGACAAAUCCAAUCCAAAAUUCAACAGCCUGUGUUCUGUUCAGAGAGCACACAGUGUACUGUACAGCCCAUAAAACUCCAAACAGCCUCCAGACACUGCCGCAAUCGUCCUCCAUCAAAACACUUUGUCUUGCAUACAAAAAUAAGAUACAGCGCUGAACAGAAUACAAAAUCAGCCCAUUACAGUACAGGGAGACUGCUACUUAGCAACGAGGGGGCUCUAAAGCCUCGAUGCUCUACAGGAAGCAAAAUCUGUCGAGCCUGUUGGGCAAACGAUAAACAUUAGCAGUAUUAAAAAACACAAAAGCCAUGUAAAUGGAUAGACAUAAUGUGGAAACAAAUUUAUAGAAUAAAUUGGGAUGGGGGAUUUGCGGGGUGGGAGGAGAUGCUGGGAUCCAGAGGGGUAGAUGGAACGAGCUUCCCCAACCCCUGCUAAGGCACCAUAUGGAGACAGAGACAUGUGUAUUUGGGGGCAGGGACAUGUGAACCCCCUCUUCACACAGGGGCUGUAGGUGAAGGGGUGGGAGAGAACUGGUGAAAACACUGUUUAAAACCAUGACCUGCAAUGAACUUUCCCAACUUUCUCGGUUCAGCUGGCCUGACUAGGACCGGGGGACCCAGGCACGCAAAACCGCAGCACUAAGGUGGCAGUUACGUGGGGGAUUUAUCUGCCCUGGGGCCAGCAUCGCACCCAGCACCAUCAUGGAACCUGAUACUUGCUGUAAACAAAAUCCCUGGCCAAAAAACAAAAACCAAAAAAAA
rnacentral:lncRNA from 1 species